UGAGCAAUCUGCCCUUCUCAUCGGAAUAAGCGUUGGAAACGAUGUCUAAUGCCGAAUACGACCUCCUUUCGCAUGAUCGGAGGUGGAAAGCUCCGGCGGAGAAGGAUGAGCUCGCGGCCUAUCAGCUAGUUGGUGUGGGUAAUGGCCCACCAAGGCGACGACGGGUAGCCGGCCUGAGAGGGUGACCGGCCACACUGGGACUGAGACACGGCCCAGACUCCUAGGGAGG
rnacentral:rRNA from 1 species